UACAGAGGUCCCAAGCGUUUGUUCGGAUUCACUGGGCGUAAAGGGUGCGUAGGUGGUCGGGUAAGUCUGAUGUGAAAUCUCCGAGCUUAACUCGGAAAUGGCAUUGGAUACUAUUCGGCUAGAGGGUUUGAGGGGGGACUGGAAUACUUGGUGUAGAGGUGAAAUUCGUAGAUAUCAGGAGGAACACCAGUGGCGAAAGGCGGCUUCCUGGGAACGGUA
rnacentral:rRNA from 1 species